AGCGCAGGCGGACUUAUGUGUCGGACGUGAAAUACCGGGGCUUAACCCCGGUGCUGCGUCCGAAACUAUGAGUCUAGAGACUUGGAGGGGUAAGCGGAAUUCUUGGUGGAGCAGUGAAAUGCGUAGAUAUCAAGAGGAACACCAACGGCGAAGGCAGCUUACUGGACAAGAUCUGACGCUCAGGCUCGAAAGCGUGGGGAGCAAAAGG
rnacentral:rRNA from 1 species